rnacentral:rRNA from 1 species
UUUCGCCUACGGGACGCAGCAGUGAGGAAUAUUGGUCAAUGGCCGGAAGGCUGAACCAGCCAAGCCGCGUGAAGGACGAAGGUGCCAAGCAUUGUAAACUUCUUUUGUCAAGGGACAAAAUCAGGCUCGAGAGCCUGACCGAGGGUACUUGAAGAAAAAGCAUCGGCUAACUCCGUGCCAGCAGCCGCGGUAAUACGGAGGAUGCGAGUGUUAUCCGGAUUUAUUGUGUUUAAAGGGUGCGUAGUCUGACUGUUAAGUCAGCGGUAAAAUCCCUGGGCUCAACCCCGGCG